rnacentral:rRNA from 1 species
GAUGAACGCUGGCGGCGUGCUUAACACAUGCAAGUCGAACGGAAAGGCUCCUGCUUGCAGGGGUACUCGAGUGGCGAACGGGUGAGUAACACGUGGGUGAUCUGCCCUGCACUUCGGGAUAAGCCUGGGAAACUGGGUCUAAUACCGGAUAGGACCACAUUUUGGAUGGUGUGGUGGAAAGUUUUUCGGUGUGGGAUGAGCUCGCGGCCUAUCAGCUUGUUGGUGGGGUAAUGGCCUACCAAGGCGUCGACGGGUAGCCGGCCUGAGAGGGUGUACGGCCACAUUGGGACUGAGAUACGGCCCAGACUCCUACGGGAGGCAGCAGUGGGGGAUAUUGCACAAUGGGCGCAAGCCUGAUGCAGCGACGCCGCGUGGGGGAUGACGGCCUUCGGGUUGUAAACUCCUUUCGCUAGGGACGAAGCGCAAGUGACGGUACCUGGAGAAGAAGCACCGGCUAACUACGUG